UUGGAGGGCAAGUCUGGUGCCAGCAGCCGCGGUAAUUCCAGCUCCAAUAGCGUAUAUUAAAGUUGUUGCAGUUAAAAAGCUCGUAGUUGAAUUUCGGGGUCAAGGGAUCGGUCAUGCCUUGGUAUGUACUGGUUUCAUUGAUUCUCACCUUCUAAAGAACCAUAAUGUCAUCAUUUGAUGUUAUGGGGAAUUAGGACUGUUACCUUGAAAAAAUUAGAGUGUUUAAAGCAGGCUUACGCUUGAAUACGUUAGCAUGGAAUAAUGAAAUAGGACAUCAGAUUCUAUUUUGUUGGUUUCUAGGAUCGAUGUAAUGAUUAAUAGGGAUAGUUGGGGGCAUUAGUAUUCAAUUGUCAGAAGUGAAAUUCUUGGAUUUAUUGAAGACUAACUACUGCGAAAGCAUUUGCCAAGGAUGUUUUCAUUAAUCAAGAACGAAAGUUAGGGGAUCGAAGACGAUCAGAUACCGUCGUAGUCUUAACCAUAAACUAUGCCGACUAGGGAUCGGAUGAUGUUAAUUUUAUAAUGACUCAUUCGGCGCCUUACGGGAAAC
rnacentral:rRNA from 1 species